UACGUAGGGUGCGAGCGUUAAUCGGAUUUACUGGGCGUAAAGCGUGCGCAGGCGGCCCGUUAAGACAGGUGUGAAAUCCCUGGGCUCAACCUAGGAAUUGCGCUUGUGACUGGCGGGCUCGAGUACGGUAGAGGGGGGUGGAAUUCCUGGUGUAGCAGUGAAAUGCGUAGAGAUCAGGAGGAACACCGAUGGCGAAGGCAGCCCCCUGGGCCUGUACUGACGCUCAUGCACGAAAGCGUGGGGAGCAACCAGG
rnacentral:rRNA from 1 species